AUUGAACGCUGGCGGCAUGCUUUACACAUGCAAGUCGAACGGUAACAGGCCGCAAGGUGCUGACGAGUGGCGAACGGGAGAGUAAUGCAUCGGAACGUGCCCAGUCGUGGGGGAUAACUACUCGAAAGAGUAGCUAAUACCGCAUACGAUCUAUGGAUGAAAGCGGGGGACCGUAAGGCCUCGCGCGAUUGGAGCGGCCGAUGUCAGAUUAGGUAGUUGGUGGGGUAAAGGCUCACCAAGCCAACGAUCUGUAGCUGGUCUGAGAGGACGACCAGCCACACUGGGACUGAGACACGGCCCAGACUCCUACGGGAGGCAGCAGUGGGGAAUUUUGGACAAUGGGCGCAAGCCUGAUCCAGCAAUGCCGCGUGCAGGAAGAAGGCCUUCGGGUUGUAAACUGCUUUUGUACGGAACGAAACGGCUCUGGUUAAUACCCGGGGCUAAUGACGGUACCGUAAGAAUAAGCACCGGCUAACUACGUG
rnacentral:rRNA from 1 species